rnacentral:rRNA from 1 species
AGCUCCAAUAGCGUAUAUUAAAGUUGCUGCAGUUAAAAAGCUCGUAGUUGCAUUUCCGAGGCAAGGGAUUAGUCCGACCUUUGGUGGGUAUUUAAUCCUCUUGCCUCGUCCUUGAGUGGUGCUUCUUGGUAUUAAGUUAUCGAGGAGAUAGCCGCUCAUCGUUUACUGUGAGAAAAUUAGAGUGUUCAAAGCAGGCUUAUGCCGUUGAAUAUAUUAGCAUGGAAUAAUAAGAUAGGACCUCGGUACUAUUUUGUUGGUUUGAGAACCAAGGUAAUGAUAAAUAGGGACAGUUGGGAGUAUUCGUAUUCAGUUGUCAGAGGUGAAAUUCUUAGAUUUACGGAAGACGAACUACUGCGAAAGCAUUUACCAAGGAUGUUUUCA